rnacentral:lncRNA from 1 species
UAUGGCGCAAAAAUUCUACCAUCCGGAAAAUUGAGGAGGUGAACCAUUUUAACUCCAAGAAGAUACCCAAUUGCCAAGGAUAACACUGCUAUGCACAUGGCGAAGGCCAAUAGCCAACUACAAAUCCUGUUUUUUAGCGGAAAUCGGCUAACGAUCAUCAAAAUCACGGUCAUCGAUGCCAAAAAUGACACUGUAUUAACCCAUAUGUAUAUCGAGUACACUUCGGGUUGUUGGGAUUUCAUUACUCCAGUUCCAGCUGCAAAUAAUACAGUUGUGUUGGAGUAAGAAAAUAGAUCAUAUAAGCCAAAAUUCAUGUAGAAUUCAUUCAAACAAUUUUUUGUAGCAUCGUUGAAACUCGAAUAAACGAAUGGAGUAUCUUGUUGCCAAACGCCACCGGGCGGAUUCACUCCCCCUUGAAAAGUCACAGUCGCGAUGACGGUAGCCACAAGCAUCAUUGUGCCUUGCACUUCUUGAACCCAAUCCCCUUUAUACUUCAGUUUCUUCUUCCAUACCUUCCACAAUCCUAUUGAUUUUUUUUUGGUGCACAAUGAUACCAAUUCUCGUCUUUUUGUUUUGCGGUUUCUCGCCUUUGUGAUCUUUUGUGAUUCUAGUAUUUUUUCUUUUGUGUCGUUUGUUCUAGUUUUUGCUUCUGGAAUUGUGAGUAAAUACCCCACCAUCUACACAAGAAAAACAAUUAUGUAGGAUAUCAAUUCAAUAUGAUAAUUAUCUCAUAUUAUUUUGACUCAAGAACAGAAGAAAAUUAUUCAUUCUUUUCAGCGCUGUUUAUAUAAUAAACAAAGACGUAUACACACACAAUUCAUGUAUCUACAAAUCUGAAUUUAUUUCUAAUAGUUGUUUAAGAUUGCAUGAACAUUAAUUUCUAAUUACCUCAAUUCGUCUUAACGUUAAAGAUAAAUCCAAAAUAGUAUUUCCUUCAUCAUCCAUUGUGUUGAGAAAGUCUUUAUCAAAUAAUAAUGUCUGAGGAAUUAGCAGCUUCAUUCCCUCCAAAUAGUUACCUUCUACACAUAAAUGUAAAACAGUUUUACCAUUAUUAUUGUGGAGGGCCUUCAUCAAAAUAGAUUGUGGCCUUGCUUUUAUCAACAAUUUCAUCAUCUCAAUAUUCUCACUAAUCACUGCGUAGUGAAGAGGAAUGAAGCCAUUAAGAUCUUGAACCAAGCAAGAACUUGUGUUCUUCUCCAACAAAGCUCUAAUAAUCUCCAUAUCCCCGUUAUUUGAACAAGCUAUAUGAAGUGGAGUUCUUUGAAAGGCAUCAACUUCAGUAGCAAGUUGAGGGAUGUGAUCUAAAAGCAACCGAGUGAAUUCAAGGUGGCCCUGAGAAACUGAGAUGUGCAAUAAUGGAGUCUCAGUUGUAAUGGAAGAUGUAUAAAUCAAAACCUUAUGAAUGAGAUUUGGAUUCUCCUUAAUGAAAGUUUUCAAGGUUUGUACACAUCCAAUCUUUGAUGCCUCGUAAAGCUUUCUUAUAACAUCUUCUUCCAUGGAUGAUAUUUCUACUACAACGUGGCUGCUCUGUGCAUCAGAAGAAUUGAGAAGUGAUGUAAUUUCUCGAUGGUUCUCCUCCAUUCUAAUCUCCAUAUCUUCUUGAAUAACCUCACUGAUCUGUAUAUGAAAAGAUCAGUAAAUAGAAUAGAUAAAUUGGAAAGUUAUUUUUGUUAUCUAUCUUCUUUUUUUGUUUGCUGAACAUAUAUAUGUAUGCAUAUAUAUAAUAAUUGAGGGAUUCACUUCAUCACAAGUCUAUGUUUGACUCCUAAAAUCCUUUUCAUUAGAAGCAUUACCAAGAAAUUCAGUGAUCAUAUCUCAUAUGUGGACAAAGGCUUAAACAUACCUUAGAAGAUUUUAUUAAUAUGUUCACAAAUAUUCUAACCCAUAUAUGAAAUAUAAAUGUAGUUAAAUAGAGAUGUUGUACACCAUUGGAAAGUUUGGAUGCUCAUGUUUAAUAUAAAUCAUAUAGUAUAUAUUAUAAAUCGUGGUUGAAAUUCAUUACGUCACAAAUUUUAGGUCUUUAAAGCUCCUAUCAAGAUAGGCUAUUUUAUGACACUUCGAGAAAAGAAUUGUUAAAUUUGUAGAUGACACCAAUAUAUUGUGUUAUGAAAGUAGCGUUUUUUCCAAGUAUAAUUUAGAUAUAAUUAAGAAUAAUGCUCGUUUUUUAAUAAAAAAUUAUUAAAAAAAUGUGAAUAAUCUAUUUGAUUUCAUCGAUCUAAUUAAUCCAAGAGAAUAUGGGAACAUCAAUGUUUCAUUUGUUGUUGUUUUGUUAGACAAUAAUAUAAGAAAUAUUCUUAGUUUCUAGUGGGUAAAAUAACCAAUUAAUACAUAAACACAUCAAUUCUUUACAUUUGAAAAACGAAAAAGGAAAAAGAAAAUGAAAAUGAAAAGAAAAGACCAGUUGGCAGACUCAACUCAAAAUUUUGGGUUGGGUUGGGUUGUCAUGACCCUUACAUAUUGAACUGAUAGAGAUUCAUUUAUUGUCAAUCCGAAUAUUUUGAGUUUUUGCUCCAACUCGAUUCAACCCGACUUAGGUAC